rnacentral:lncRNA from 1 species
AUGGAGGGUGUUGAAAAGAGGAAGAAAAGGUUUCUUCUGUGCCAGAAACCCUUAACAAUAAGUAAAAGGAAUUUUACAUAGUUGAAGAUCAAGCGCCAGAGAAAAAAAGCCCAAAAGAUGCUUUGAAAGGCAAGGAGAACAAAGGAAAGCAUGCUUUGUCUAUGAAAAAGUGAAUUACUAUCACAAUGACUAUAGGCAGAUGUACAGAAAUGAAAUAUGAAUGGCUAGGAUGACAAGAAAAGCUGGAAACUUCCCUGAACCUGCUGAAUCCAAACUGGCAUUUGUCGUCAGGAUUAGAGUUAUUAAUGGUGUGAGCCCAAAGUUCCAAAAGGUGUUGCAGCUUCUCUGCCUAUGUCACAUAUUCAAUGGAACUUUUGUUAAGCUCAGCAAGUCUUCAGUUAACAUGCUGAGGAUUGUAGAACCAUAGGGUUACCCAAACCUGAAAUCAGUAAAUAAACUAAUCUACAAGCAUAGUUAUGGCAAAAUCAAUAAGAAGCAAAUUGCUGUGACAGAUAACACUUUGAUUGCUCAGUGGCUCAGUAAAUAGGGCAUCAUCUGCAGGAAGGAUUUGACUCAUGGCAUCUAUAAUUUUGGAAAAUGCUUCAAAGAAGCAAAUAACUUCCUGUGGCCCUUCAAAUUAUCCUCUCCAGAUGUGGGAAAAAAAAAAAAAGACACAUUUUGUAGAUGGUGGAGAUGCUGGCAACAGGGCACACCAGAACAACAGGUUUGUUAGAAAGAUAAACUAA